rnacentral:rRNA from 1 species
CCUACGGGAGGCUGCAGUGGGGAAUAUUGCACAAUGGGCGAAACCCUGAUGCAGCGACGCCGCGUGAAGGAAGAAGUACCUCGGUAUGUAAACUUCUAUCAGUAGGGAAGUAAAUGACGGUACCUGACUAAGAAGCCCUGGCUAACUACGUGCCAGCAGCCGUGGUAAUACGUAGGGGGCAAGCGUUAUCCGGAUUUACUGGGUGUAAAGGGAGCGUAGGCGGUGCAGCAAGUCAGAAGUGAAAGUCCCGGGCUCAACUCCGGGACUGCUUUUGAAACUGUUGACCUAGAUUGCAGGCUAGGUAGGUGGAAUUCCUAGUGUAGCGGUGAAAUGCGUAGAUAUGAGGAGGAACACCAGUGGCGAAGGCAGCUUACUGGACUGUAAAUGACGCUGAGGCUCGAAAGCGUGGGGAGCGAACAGGAUUAGAUACCCCUGUAGUC